GAUUCAAGAGCAUUUUCUAAGUCAUGGUAUGGAAAGUAUAACUGGAUAGAAUAUAGAGUCCGAGGAUGCAGCUUUUGUUUCUAUUGUUUCUUGUUGAAGCAACCUGGAACGGCUGAACACUUUGGGUUUGAAGUCUUCACCAAAACAGGUUUUAGGGACUGGAAACAUGCAUAUAGAGCCUUACCUGAGCAUGUAGGUGGUCUGAAUAGUGGUCACAACAAUUGUGUUCGGCAUUAUGAUGAUUUCAAAAAUCAAAGACAAAGUGUGUCAACCAAGUUCGCUUGUGGAACUGUGGAAUCUCACAGAUUAUAUAAGAUCCGCUUGACUUCUUCUCUAGAGUGUGUAAGGUAUCUCAUAGCACAAGGUUUGUCAUUCCGUGGCCAUGACGAUUCUACUACUUCUUCGAACAAGGGAAACUUUCUAGAGAUGAUAGAUUGGUUAAAGGAUAGCAAUGAAGAAGUAAGUGAUGCUUUUGAUUGUGGUGGAGAAAACUGCAAGAUGACUUCCGGUGAAAUACAAAAGGACCUUGCAAGGUGUUCUGCAGAAGAAGUCACUGAAGUGCUUAUGGGGGAGCUUGGUGCUAAAAAGUUCUUUGUUCUUAUUGAUGAGUCACGCGAUAUAUCGGUGAAAGAACUUCCAUUCGAUAUUGGGUGGAGUAUGGCUGGAAGGUCAGCCUAG
rnacentral:rRNA from 1 species